rnacentral:rRNA from 1 species
UACGAAGGGGGCUAGCGUUGUUCGGAAUCACUGGGCGUAAAGGGUGCGUAGGCGGGUCUUUAAGUCAGAGGUGAAAUCCUGGAGCUCAACUCCAGAACUGCCUUUGAUACUGGAAAGCUUGAGUUCGGGAGAGGUGAGUGGAACUGCGAGUGUAGAGGUGAAAUUCGUAGAUAUUCGCAAGAACACCAGUGGCGAAGGCGGCUCACUGGCCCGUUACUGACGCUGAGGAGCGAAAGCGUGGGGAGCGAACAGG